rnacentral:rRNA from 1 species
UACGUAGGCAGCGAGCGUUGUUCGGAAUUACUGGGCGUAAAGAGUGUGUAGGCGGUGCUCUAAGUUCGGUGUGAAAUCUCCCGGCUUAACUGGGAGGGUGCGCCGGAAACUGGAGUGCUCGAGCGUGGGAGAGGAAAGCGGAAUUCCUGGUGUAGCGGUGAAAUGCGUAGAUAUCAGGAGGAACACCGGUGGUGUAAACGGCUUUCUGGACCAUAACUGACGCUGAGGCACGAAAGCGUGGGUAGCAAACAGG